AGUUUUCUCAUCCGACAUCAAUUGCAAAAAGUAGUUUUGCGAUAUAUUUUGAAGCAUACUGCGUUCAAGCCAUUUUCUCACUUAAAUGAACCCGAUGCAAGUAUCGUCCUUUCUUGGAUCGAUACUUAGAUUAAUUGCAUAAUAUGACAACGUCAUAUUUGUUCUAAUUGUCUAACAGUUAUUCUUUAGCUCAGUUUUUACUCAUUUUCUUGUCGAUGGAUCGUUUUAUUUUGCCCAAAGUGAUCCAAAUUUAUAUUUUAUCAUUUCAUAGAGUCCUUCAUAAUUUUUAAUAUAGUAAUAUAUCAUGCUUAUAUUUUUCUCUUUAGCUCUAUGAGUUAAAUCCUACACUACCCAUAUCAACUCACACCCACAAAACUUGGAAUAUUCUUUUACCUUGGCUAUGCUUACUCCACGUAUCACAUUCUGAUGAUUACCACAAAUAUUUUAUAAUUCUCUCUUACUAAGUUCCUUAUUCUAUUCUUUCUCAAUUUCUGACUCAUGACCCACGGCCCCCCACUUGUUCAUGAAAAUAUCUUCUCCAGCAUAUCACCUUACACUCUCGUUUCUUUUCUUUCUCCCAACGCCAGACCCAUUUUCUUCUUCUCUUUCACGUUUUCUUUCUUUCUUCAGCAGACCCAUUUCUGCUCCUUCUCCCUUUCUUCUCCAUGGACAACCAGCCAUGAGCCACCACCACCACACACAAAAGCUCCAACCAUGGCCACUCCAAACAGCCAUGGACACGCGAGCACCACAGCCACCGCUGGCCACCAUCACCAUAGGUUGCUUCUAAUUAAUACUAUUGGCUUUUGUUUCGGUAUUAAAUCCUUCUAAAACAGCUCCUAACUUCUAUUGUUUCUAGUUUUCCUUUACUGUGUGGCUAUUUCUCUUUUAAAGAUGGUUUUGCUCUUUUGAUUUCAAAAGGGCUGAUGGUAAUAGUUUCAUGUGGAGAAAAAGUUGAGUUUUGAAAAGUGUUCCUUUCCCAUAAGUGAUUAUAAACUUUAAAACUAGUUUUCCUCAUGGUUUUUGCAUUUGUCUCACUUGUGUACUAUUAGUUUUGGAAGAAAUAUUUACCUUGACAUUUAAAGAAAAGGGCCGAGAGCAUCAUGAGGAUUUUAAGUUUGGAAUUAAAACUUUUUAUGAGUAUAUUAUUUUUUGAGCUGAAAGGUUUUAUAAACUAUUUGGGGAUCUAGUUGUGAAUGUGUUUUAGGGAUGAAAAUUGUAUGAAAAUAAUUUUAGGGCCUAAAACACAAUAUGUUUAGAAGUUUUGGGUUAAACUUGUGUUUUAAAAGUCUUGGGGUUUGUUUGAUAAAUUUAUAAAAGAUUGAGGGUUGAAAAAGAACUUACUUUUAUGUGAGGACCUUUUCGUGAUUAUGUGCUUAUCAAGGGACUAGGGUUGAAUUAUUUAAGAGUUGAGGAGUUGUUUGCGAAAUGUGUUUUUAAGGACCUUUCUUUAAAACUCACAAAUAUUUUAUCUUUGGACUUUAGUCCUUGAAACAUAAAGUUUGUGCAUUUAGCCUAAGUGAGCUAGAAAGAUUGGCUAAGUUUGUUCUGGAACUUUAGAUGUGACUUUAGAGGCUAAGGUUUAGUAUGUGAACUUGUGAAGGGUACGAAGGACGGAAGCGCUUGACGACGAAGCCAAAGAACAAACGGAAGUGAGCCAACACGGGAAAGCAAAGAUAUGACUGGAUUUGAUUUGAGUCGCAACUUAGUAAGGAAAGCGCCGAAGAUGUCGACGGUGGAUUGGGUUUCGACGGUCUCUCCCUCAGGGGGGAUCAAGUUUGAGUUGGUGGAUCGACAUGCCCCACUGCUUGGGUGAUCGAUGUUGUGGGUCAUCGAGCGACGUACCGGGGAAGGGUCAUGGAGGACCGGACUGACGAGCGUGAACAUCUGACGAAAGGAGUUCUACGACGCAUGGAGCUGAGCUUCAACUUGCCAACUUUUGUUCGCAGUGGACUUGGUACUUGGAGGGUAGGUUUAGGCAGGAGUCAUAUUCUGUGUAGAGCUCUGAUUCGUUUUACUUUUGGGACAGGGUAGGUUCCCGACGCAUAGCUUUUCGUGUGGUUCUCUUAUUGAGGGAUCACAGUGAGUUAGUCGGACUGUAGGGGUUCUGCUUAGGCCAUUUUGAGGCCGACUUUCUACUAGUGGAUUGUAGUUACAACUUUCUUACUCAAACUUCUGGGUCUGUAUUUAUUUGCCUAGGGCACACUACUUUGGAGUCACUGCGAGUGCGCGUGACGUGGGAGUGCAGCUGAGGCUGUACAUGUUUAUAUUUGAUGUAUAUUGGUUAGUUUAGUGGUUGAGUUAUGUCUUUACUUUCUAUUGCUUUAUUUAAAAGGAAUCAAACGAAAAAAAUUACCUGUUUUCCGCGUAGAGUUUAUUUUUGGUUACUAAGGUGACACCCGGAAAUCGGGGUGUUACAUUGUGGUAUCAGAGCUUAGUCGAGUCUUUUGGGAGUCUUUGGGGAAUAGGUCUUCUGUGCUAGGUUGUGUGACUCUGCAAAGAGUGAAAAUUGAUUGUCUGCAGAGCGAUCUUCGCUCUAAUUGUUUGCGUUACUACUUAAACCAUAUUGAAUGGUUUGUCUAGUGCUACCGUAUGGUUAGUACUAAUGGGACGCUUGAUGAGAUAUAGGAUGGUGGACCUUAACCGGAUGGCGGAGGCAAUAGCUACACUGAUCGAGGCAUUGAUGAAUCAGGCUGCGGAAGACGCUUACAUACGCGCUGAAGAGGCUGCACGUGAGCAUCACCAACGACUGAUGGCGACGGCAAUGUAUCAACAAAGAGGAAUGAACCGAACAGGAGCUGGGGGACCAAUGAGGUCAGGUUCCCAAGGCUACAACGGAAGGGAGAGCUACCAUUAGUGGGGACCAUAUCAGCGUUCCGAGGGAAGAAAUCUCAUCUCAAGAGCGUACAAACCAACGACUGCUGAUACUGGAGGGAAGCCAGUUGGUGAUAAAGGUGUGACAUGUUUUCGUUGCGGAAAGUUUGGGCAUUUUGCUAACAAGUGCUCAGUGGUUGGACGGAGAUGCGUCAAGUGUAACCGAGAGGGGCAUCUAGCUGUGAACUGCAAGACACUUCAGGAGGGAACGUCUGACAGUAAGAUGAAAGGGAAUGAUGCUACCGGAGGGACAGGAAACAAGAUUUCGGGAAAAACAGUGACGUGUUACCGGUGUAGGAAAGUGGGGCACUAUAGUAACAAGUGUCCAGACGGGGGAUCUCCAUGCUUCAACUGUGGGGAAAGCGGGCACUCUGCCAGUAGGUGCAAGAUCAAGGAAAGUCUAUGCUUCAAUUGCAACCAACCGGGACAUUUAUCCAGAGAUUGUAAGGCACCCAAGGGCGAAUCAUCAGGGAAUGUUGGGAAAGGAAAACAACUUGCUACAGAGGAAAGGAUUUAUGCCAAGGAAGGAGCAAGAGCUGAGGAGUUAAACGAGGAGGAACGUGGGAACGAUGGUAAUAUUUUAACUGUCCUCUUAUUCUAGAAUAACUUACUCUUUUAUCUUUGAAGCGAGUAUGACGCGCCUAACUUGUAUUUACUACUUAGACUAUGAUCUUAUGAUUAUUAUCCCUAGUAGGACCUUAUUCGAAGUUGCUCGUGUUUUAACUAUAGAAGUUACACGAGGUUGGGAAUAGCACACUAAGUCUAGAAAGUAGUCUUCCACCGAUGCGAUUAUGAGGAAGCUAGUAGCUGAAGAACGAAUCUUAGGGACAUUCCGUAUGGGUAGUAUACGCGAUAUGUUGAGGGUGUGUAGUUCCGUAGCGGGAUCAUUAAAGGAUUUAGUAUCAGGAUAUUUGUGACUACUGGAGGAUAGGAACUCAUUGACUGUUCCAGUGGGUUUUUCUAAAUUUCCACCUUCGAUGUAUUAGGCCUGAUCAACCUAAUAUUGAGGGGGUGAUAUUCGGAAUCACAGCUGGUAAUGGACCUUGAUAGAAGGAUGUGUAAGAUGAAUUUGAAUUGAUUGAGGAUUAGUCGGAUUUGGGAGGAAAGUUCGUGUUAAGCAUUUGAUUGUAAAAGAUUAAGAUUUAAAUCUUUGGAAGUCGAUGAGUGUCGUAUAGACAUUGAUUGGUUAGUUCGUGUGAUUACUCCAAGUAGAGGUAGACUAAGUCAAGAGAUUUAGUGCUGGAAAAGUAUUAAGUAGUUUCUCGGAAGUUAUGAAGUCAUAGGUUAUGUGAUUACUGAGUGGAAUUGUUAGAGACUAAAUAGGUUGGAUUUAAUCAGGUUUUAGAUGAUAGCUUGAUGGUAGCAAGAUUGAGAAGAAUUAACUCUGAACUAGAUUGUUAUAGUUGAGUUCGAGGAAUAAGUUUUGCUAAGCGUUUGAUUAAUAUGUGGAGACAUUACAGUCUUAAGAGAUGAAUUGUCACUUGAAAAGUAUUGGAUUAAUGAUUAAGUUGGAAGAAGAAAGUUUUAGCAUAAGUUGAAUACUUGAGGUUGUUGAUAUGGAUUCCAAAGAAAUAUGCUAAGAUUACUAAGUGAGAUUUACUAAGUUGGAUUGAAAUCUUAGGGUUAAGAUUGAAUCUUGAGAGUCGAGAAUCGCGUACGAGUAGGAGAUCUUAUGGUUGUAGGUGUGACAAUAGGAGUUGAAUCUUAGAAGAUUGAAGACCUGAAGGUGAGUUUCGGGUUAAGACCAUUGAGGUAUAGUAUAAGAGAGAUCUUGAAGUAAAGGAAUUCUGGGUUGUGUAGAGUGUUAAGGUUGGUUAUAAGUUGGUGAUCGAUUGAUGUUGAUUAUGAGGUUGCGGACAUAACGACCAUGUGAUAAGAUUUGAAUGGUGUUAGCAUAAUAAGUUAUGAUUACGGAUAUCAGGAUCAAGCGGUGAGUGUGAAAGCAUGACGACACUUAUCAGGUCGUUUGUGUAAGCGAAGGAGUUAUAGUUUUAAGAAAUAAAUAUUCAUUUAAGAAGUGUUGGAGAGUUAAAGGAUAUUGGUGGUCCAAACUUAGUGAAGGUUUAGAUUUUAAGUCAAUCGAUUUGAUCACGAACGCGUGAGACAUGAACUCUUGUCAGGUUUUGAUCGAGAGACUAAGUAUUGGAACGAUUGGAGGAUGAUCAAGUUACAGAAAGGAAAGUGUUAGUAUUAAGAUGAAUACUUGAGGUUUUUAUAUUUGAACAAGUUCCGUAGAGUCUAAGAGUGAAUGGAACCUUGUCAUGGAUUUUGAUGAUGCAUAUUACGGUUAACAAGUGAAUCUUACUAAAGUUGAAUGAGAAUUCUAGGGCUAAGGUUGACCUAGUGAGCUGAGAUUCAUGUACACAUAAGAGAUUUAGUGGUGUUAGCGGUUACGAUAACGGUUAAAUCUCAGAAUGUUGAAGGAUCGGAUGAUAAAGUGGCUAGUUAAGUCCCUUGAGGUAUAGUUAUGAUUUGAUCUUCUAGAGGAUAAGUCUCGAUUUGUGCGAAGUGUUAGGGAUUUCAGUAAGUGUAAAUAGGUUUGAGUGAGGGAAGUUUUGAGGAAGAAGACGAUAAUAAUGGAUUGUUAGAUAUUAAGAGGAGGAUUAUCUUAUAAGUUGUUGAUAAAUUGAUGUUGAAGGGGAUAAGAUUAGUGAAGGACAAGGAAUAAGGACAUAAGUCGAGUUUUAAUUCGAAUAGUGACUAAGUAGAAGUUUGAUUUCUUGAUGGGUGUAAAGAUAAUUACGAAGUUGGAGGUGUUUUAAUGGACUAGCGGUUUCCAAGGGGAUGAUUCGUCUAGGAGUUAUCGAACAGACAGGUGGAGUUUUGGACUGUAGAUGAAGAUCUCGAGGACAAGUUGAGUAUUUACUUUGAAAUGACAGAGAGGCACCGAGUUUAAGAAGAAUUUCGGACGACCGAAAGUAAAGAAGUAAGUGGCUAAGGUUGUGCGACUGCACGGAGUGCCAACCGGUAUCAUUUCAAGCAGAGAUCCGACGCAAGUACUCGAGUCAGACGACAUGAAGUUGAAUGAUGGUUUGUCUUUGGAGACGCCGACAGUUAGCAGUGGGGAUAGAAGAGUGAAACAAUUAAGGGGAGAACAGAUUGCUUAAGUAAAGGUUAUGAGGAACAAUGACACGGGCAAUACUACAUGAGAAUUGGGAGAUAAGAUCGAGGAACUGUAUCCCGGACUUGUUGCAGAACUCUGAGUUUCGAGGACGAAACUUUCUUUUUGGAGGGGAGUAUUGUAAGACCUGGAUUUGCAGAACAAGUUAAUUUCCGACUCACGCGUAAAAUCAGUGUAAGCGUGACAGGAGUUUGAUAUUUGAGAAAGAUUAAUGAAGAAGAAAGUUCAGGAAUUGCUUGAGGAAUGUUGCGUAGUUGCUUUCGGAGUUAGUGCGAUUCGUCUGCACACCUGCCUUAUGGCGAGCGUGUCCAGAAUAGGUUAUUUCGCUUCUAGAGCAACGUUUCAAGUGAGAUUUCAAAUCUUUGGAAAAUUUAAAGAUUCUCUUUAUUUUUCCUUCGACCAGCGUUUCAUUUCGGAACCCUGGACUGUACGCACGAUAGUAUUCACUUUUCGGAAGUCCGACGACGCUAAUUUCUUUGCUUCGAAACCCUAGAUUCAAGCGCUGAAUGAAGACUUUUUCUAUUCGGGACUUCUAACGAAGUUUCCGUCCGCGCUGCCAGAUUUGUUUCGACGUUUCCAAUCUUUCUUCAAAAGGAAGUUUUCUCAUCCGACAUCAAUUGCAAAAAGUAGUUUUGCGAUAUAUUUUGAAGCAUACUGCGUUCAAGCCAUUUUCUCACUUAAAUGAACCCGAUGCAAGUAUCGUCUUUUCUUGGAUCGAUACUUAGAUUAAUUGCAUAAUAUGACAACGUCAUAUUUGUUCUAAUUGUCUAACAGUUAUUCUUUAGCUCAGUUUUUACUCAUUUUCUUGUCGAUGGAUCGUUUUAUUUUGCCCAAAGUGAUCCAAAUUUAUAUUUUAUCAUUUCAUAGAGUCCUUCAUAAUUUUUAAUAUAGUAAUAUAUCAUGCUUAUAUUUUUCUCUUUAGCUCUAUGAGUUAAAUCCUACACUACCCAUAUCAACUCACACCCACAAAACUUGGAAUAUUCUUUUACCUUGGCUAUGCUUACUCCACGUAUCACAUUCUGAUGAUUACCACAAAUAUUUUAUAAUUCUCUCUUACUAAGUUCCUUAUUCUAUUCUUUCUCAAUUUCUGACUCAUGACCCACGGCCCCCCACUUGUUCAUGAAAAUAUCUUCUCCAGCAUAUCACCUUACACUCUCGUUUCUUUUCUUUCUCCCAACGCCAGACCCAUUUUCUUCUUCUCUUUCACGUUUUCUUUCUUUCUUCAGCAGACCCAUUUCUGCUCCUUCUCCCUUUCUUCUCCAUGGACAACCAGCCAUGAGCCACCACCACCACACACAAAAGCUCCAACCAUGGCCACUCCAAACAGCCAUGGACACGCGAGCACCACAGCCACCGCUGGCCACCAUCACCAUAGGUUGCUUCUAAUUAAUACUAUUGGCUUUUGUUUCGGUAUUAAAUCCUUCUAAAACAGCUCCUAACUUCUAUUGUUUCUAGUUUUCCUUUACUGUGUGGCUAUUUCUCUUUUAAAGAUGGUUUUGCUCUUUUGAUUUCAAAAGGGCUGAUGGUAAUAGUUUCAUGUGGAGAAAAAGUUGAGUUUUGAAAAGUGUUCCUUUCCCAUAAGUGAUUAUAAACUUUAAAACUAGUUUUCCUCAUGGUUUUUGCAUUUGUCUCACUUGUGUACUAUUAGUUUUGGAAGAAAUAUUUACCUUGACAUUUAAAGAAAAGGGCCGAGAGCAUCAUGAGGAUUUUAAGUUUGGAAUUAAAACUUUUUAUGAGUAUAUUAUUUUUUGAGCUGAAAGGUUUUAUAAACUAUUUGGGGAUCUAGUUGUGAAUGUGUUUUAGGGAUGAAAAUUGUAUGAAAAUAAUUUUAGGGCCUAAAACACAAUAUGUUUAGAAGUUUUGGGUUAAACUUGUGUUUUAAAAGUCUUGGGGUUUGUUUGAUAAAUUUAUAAAAGAUUGAGGGUUGAAAAAGAACUUACUUUUAUGUGAGGACCUUUUCGUGAUUAUGUGCUUAUCAAGGGACUAGGGUUGAAUUAUUUAAGAGUUGAGGAGUUGUUUGCGAAAUGUGUUUUUAAGGACCUUUCUUUAAAACUCACAAAUAUUUUAUCUUUGGACUUUAGUCCUUGAAACAUAAAGUUUGUGCAUUUAGCCUAAGUGAGCUAGAAAGAUUGGCUAAGUUUGUUCUGGAACUUUAGAUGUGACUUUAGAGGCUAAGGUUUAGUAUGUGAACUUGUGAAGGGUACGAAGGACGGAAGCGCUUGACGACGAAGCCAAAGAACAAACGGAAGUGAGCCAACACGGGAAAGCAAAGAUAUGACUGGAUUUGAUUUGAGUCGCAACUUAGUAAGGAAAGCGCCGAAGGUUAGGGCAACUUUCAUAUUAGCUAUGAUUGCAUGAUAGGCGUCGAUCAAUUCGACUUAUGCUUUAUCCGAUAUUGAUUAUGAUGAUGAGUUGUUGUUAUGAUGUUUUUCCAUAACUUGUGAUAUUGUGAUAUUGUUGGAUUUGUGCGUUUUGACGCGACUUCGGAGUGGAGAUUCAUUGAUCUGGUGAUCUUUGAUAUUUCGGGUUGGAUGAACAACCCUAGGCAAGUUCAAAUGUGGGGUUUGAGAUUUAGCCAUUUGUUGGGAUUCGUUUGAAUACUUAGACUUUCCCCGGGAAACUUCUUUUGGCGGGUUUUUGGAAACUUAGAAUGAUUAGACUUUCGAAAAUUAGAGACUUUGGGAGACUUAGACUUUGAGAAAUAAACUCAUAAUCUGACUAAUCCAAUUCGAAACGUUUUUACUAAACGAAUAAUUAUAGGGAACCUAAAGGAGAAAAUGAUUGCGAAAGACGGGGAAAAGUCGACUUUUGUUGUGAGUUUGGGUUUGAGCUAGACACUUAUGUGGUGAGGACGAUUCGAUGUUUGGCUAACCAUAUUGCAUCAAUCGGGUGAAUAACGGGAAUGGUUCACCUGUGCAUUUCAUGGUGAAUAACGGGAAUGGUUCACCUUGCAUUAAUGAUGAAUAACGGGAAUGGUUCAUCAUACGGUGAAUAACGGGAAUGGUUCACCAAGGAUGAAUAACGGGAAUGGUUCAUCCAGGAUGAAUAACGGGAAUGGUUCAUCCAUAGUGAAGAACGGGAAUGCUUCACUUGUGGCGAACGGGAACGCGUCACAAAUCCGGAUCAUAUUGUGCAUUUCACGCAUACAUUCAUUCUGACUUGAAUUGUGUGCUGUUUGUUUAUUGAAGCAUUGUUAGAGCCAUAACAUGCUAGGAUUGUUUAUAUAUGUAUAUAUAUCAACAUAUAUCUAUACCCCAUAUCACAUGUUGAGUGUAUAUCUACUUAUUUCCGUGAGUUGACCCUAGCGCCUUGGCUUUGGUUUCAUGUUUGUGUUUGGGCGGUCGGCCUGCUGCCAGAUGUCGACGGUGGAUUAGGUUUCGACGGUCUCUCCCUCAGGGGGGAUCAAGUUUGAGUUGGUGGAUCGACAUGCCCCACUGCUUGGGUGAUCGAUGUUGUGGGUCAUCGAGCGACGUACCGGGGAAGGGUCAUGGAGGACCGGACUGACGAGCGUGAACAUCUGACGAAAGGAGUUCUACGACGCAUGGAGCUGAGCUUCAACUUGCCAACUUUUGUUCGCAGUGGACUUGGUACUUGGAGGGUAGGUUUAGGCAGGAGUCAUAUUCUGUGUAGAGCUCUGAUUCGUUUUACUUUUGGGACAGGGUAGGUUCCCGACGCAUAGCUUUUCGUGUGGUUCUCUUAUUGAGGGAUCACAGUGAGUUAGUCGGACUGUAGGGGUUCUGCUUAGGCCAUUUUGAGGCCGACUUUCUACUAGUGGAUUGUAGUUACAACUUUCUUACUCAAACUUCUGGGUCUGUAUUUAUUUGCCUAGGGCACACUACUUUGGAGUCACUGCGAGUGCGCGUGACGUGGGAGUGCAGCUGAGGCUGUACAUGUUUAUAUUUGAUGUAUAUUGGUUAGUUUAGUGGUUGAGUUAUGUCUUUACUUUCUAUUGCUUUAUUUAAAAGGAAUCAAACGAAAAAAAUUACCUGUUUUCCGCGUAGAGUUUAUUUUUGGUUACUAAGGUGACACCCGGAAAUCGGGGUGUUACAACCCUUCACCAUAAAAUUUCCCUGGAGGAUCCUGACUCACUCAUACUUCUUGGUUCUGUAUUGAUUUCACUCUUUGCAUGCUUUGUGAUACUUGCACAAUUUUUUAGGCUUGUAGGUUUUUGAGCUUCAGAGUUGUUGGUUUGAACAUUUGUCCAUAGUUGUCCCAUUUGAGCCUAUUGAAGAUUUCUUUGUUAGCUAAAUGAUUGGGAUGGAUGUUUGGUUGGAAUAUUGGGGAGUGAUGGUCCUUGAUUAUAUUUGUAUGGAGCUGAAAAAUUGUGAAAUAGUCUCUUGCCCCAAAGAAAAAAAUUGAAAAAAGAAAAGAAAAAGAACUCCUGAACAAAAGCUGGAGUUGUAAAAGAAAAAAAAAAGAAAAAGUUGAAAAAAAGGGGGGUACAAGAGACUUGUGCUAAAAAGUUUAUUGUGAAAAGCUCCAGGGGGUUUUAGAAUUGAACCACACUCAAUGUUCUUGAAGCCUAGAACUUCCUUAGGGACCAACCACCUUGUACUUCACCAAGCCAACAUUUCAACCCUUUGAAAGUCUCUUUGAAUUUGUGCAUGUUUGAUCUUUGUUGCUCUUGAGUGAAUGAUAUCCAGAGCCUAUGAACUGCUUGUGUGCUCAGUGCACUAAAUGUAUAUCUCAUCCUAGGAAUUUUAGAUCUAUAUGCUUCUCAUGAUGGACUCUACACUCUUCUUUGUCCGAAAGUUGCAUGAAGUAGAUUGUUGUGUCUUUCUUUUGGAACAGCUGUGGUUGCUAAAUCCCCCGGUUUUCUGAUAAGUAUUCCUUGUUGGGCACUGAUUUUGGGAGCAUUUCUUGCGCUUGAGGGCAAGCGAGUGUUUUUUUAUGCUCGAGGGCGAGCUGCCGUUGAGUAUAGUGGUGUGAUGACCCUAGUUUAGUAGUGUUUUUAGGGUCAUUUCUUUGUUUGUUUUAAGUCUUUUUGUUGAGUCUCAUGUAGUGUUUCAUGCAUUGUCAAUUUGUCAUGCAUUUUUAUCUUUCUUUGUGUUUUUAUUUUGUUUUUGUAUUUUUGUAGUUUUAUAAGGACCUUUCGUGCAUUUUGAUUAGCUAGAGGACUUGCAUAUCUUUUCUAUUUUAAUUGAAGGUUCUCCUUGCUAAUUAACUCUUUGAAGCUUCUAGAUAUCUCUUUUACUUUGUGCCUAAGUUACCAGGUCUGAAACUGAUGGAUGAGGAAGGCCAAGAAGCAUGGAAUUGAAGGAGGGCUUAAAGAGGCUUGAAGAGGAGUUACAAAGAAGCUAAAAAGUUUUUCCAGCGAGCUUGGAGCGCCUAGGCGCUGGGAAUUGGCGCCUAGGCGCCAAUUACCUUCCAGAGAGCAUGUUUUCAGCUGGAAUUGGCGCUCAGGCGCUCUGAAUUGGCGCCUGAGCGCCCAGACUCGCCUGUUUUACCUAUAAAUUGGUUUUUAGACAUUUCUCUUGGAACCUUUUGCCAUUUUAUCAUAUUUUCAUAAGAUAGAAGAGAGGGUUUGAGUUCUGAAACUUCAUGAGCUUUCUCUAAGCCCUAUGUUUCAGGUUUCAUCUUUAUCUUCUUGUAUGGAUUUCAUAGCCAUGUUUGGCUAAAACCCCUUUUGGUUUGGGUUCUUUGUAAGACUUAUGAUGUUUUAAUCUUAAUUCCUAUUUCUAUUCAUGAA